CUUCGUCGCUCGUCUGUCAGUUUUUUUUUUUUUGCGAUUUAGACCCACCGCAAAUCAUGUAUCAACACCUAAUUCCUCGCGUGCCUCCAUAGUCCACGCCCUCAUGUCGCCCGCAUCUCUGACCGAACCUUCGUUCCCCAUCACGCCGCCACCCAUCGAUGUUCAACCAGCGAUUCAGUCCUCCUGCGGCCGAACCCCCGAUGCCUGCUGGUUUUCCCUAUCCUGAUCUGCUCACAUUCUCCGACUUGAGUAGCUCGCCGUCCUAACGGAGCUCCAGAAAUUCCCGUGCUUCGUUAUUGAUGCCGACGAGCUGAGGGCUUCUCCGCCGACGCCACUGGCCGGGGGAGCGGCUGGGGAGGAGACAUUGAGGCGGACGAAGAAGGUCACAGCAAACUCAUGAGAACAUCAUCUCCAGUGGGUGCCGAGGUGUUCGACGCUGGCGUGUCCUGCAACAAUCUCAGGCUGCUCCUCGACAGCACAUGUUUGAUGAAAUGCUGGAGUCAAAAUUCUUCUUCGAUCUCUAUGUCUGAGCUCUUUUAGUUCUUUAGUUCGCGUUCUGCAUACCAUAUGUACUAAUUACUCAUGAUGAAGUGCUUUUAACAUUGUUCCUUCUCAGGGAAUAAGGAAGGAGCUUUUAGGGGAGCACCAUGGUGAGCCUGCACUGCAACAGUAUGUGUUAUCAGCGACGGACAGCGGCUGCAGCCAGACUCCGGAGAGAUACCUCAUCUUCAUGGCCAAGCAGCUCGCCGAGGCAGGGAAGGUGAAUAGCUCCCUGGCGGACGACGCGACAACAAUGUAGGCAGCGCUGGAGAAGAUGGACGAUGCGUACUGCCACUCGACGCUAGGCUAUCUCGAGGUGCAGCAGGACAUGUUCCUUUUUCAAAUUUUGCUCUCGGUUGCUGAUGGUUGGCUAUCUAGCUCGCCGAGGUAUGCGUUGUGCUUGUCCAGGAUUUCCGCUUCAAGAUGUCUGGGUCCUCAAUUCCGCUCAGCAUUACAACCUGGAGAGUUCUAAACACGAUUGACAUUUCCAGUAGUUAAGAAGAAGCUUCUCCAAGUAGUAAGGUAUGCAAGCAUGUUAUAUGUUCCAUGUGCUUAUCAACUUCUGCAAGUUGUUUGAUAUAUGCAAGGCGGUGGGUGAUUAACUGACUAUUAUUCAUCAAUGUGAUGUUAAAAUAUGUAAUGAAAGUUCUGUUAAAACAAGUGUAGAAACAAGGAUCUUGUCAGGACUCUACUGAAGCUGCAGUUCAGUGAUUUGGGUGUUCACCGCUGCCAUGGUCGUCAUCAACACACACAAGUAGCUAUAAAUAUUAAUCGGCAAUGCAAGUUCCGUGUAUUUAUUUGGUAAGAGAUGAAAAUACAAAAAUCUUUCUCACAAAUCAUUUGUAGUUUCAUUUCACAUAGAUAAUACUCCUUGACAGUAUUCCAAUCCACUAAAAUUCAGUUCACAUAUCAAAUGUACGUUGCAUCCUUCUUAGUGUUUUUCUAUCUGCCCAUCUUAAAUUUUGUGCUAGCUCAAUUUAUUCUUGUUUCAUGGUUGGUUGUGUCCUUAGAAUGUAAUACUUGCUAUUUAUAGAUAAUGCAUCAAAAUUUAUCAUCCUGAAGAAAAUAUACACUACAAACACAACUAUGUUUACAACAUGUAAUGUGCUAUAUCUGCAAAAACUACCUAUAAUUUAGACUGGUCUAUAUCAGUAAAGAUACAUAAGGGCCCUCCAUGGUCACACCUUCAUAUGGCAUGCAAAGAGUAUUAUUAUGUCAUGCUUAUAUAAAAUUCGAGCAUACAUUGCUUCGUUGUAUUGUAUUUGUUUGAGUUUUCUUAUAAGGCCAGCUUAUCUCUUACAGUAGUACCAGAUUGGAUCCUCUAGGUACACGUUCACACAUUUGUGUUCCUGAUGGUGCGUGAAUUUGCAAGUGAGAUGAUAAUUAAUUGCUCGCUCCGUUACAACAAAUAAGGCCUACAAAUUUAGUCAAAACUCAAUGAAAUCUAAGUUUGACCAUUGUUACAGACAAAAAUACGAUCAUUUAUGAUAUCAAAUCAAUAUCGAUAGUUUCACAAUAAAUAUAUUGUUAGGUAGUAUGUAAGGGAAUUGACACACACAAGGUUUAAAUGUACCUGAGACCAAGGCUUACUCAAUAUUAGGUACUGUACACAAGUUUGACAAUUACCGCGGAAGAAUAGAGGUACGCGGAUAUUCUACUUGAGACAAUUUAUGCUCACUGAUUUCUCUCUAACAUAUAGUAUUACGUAGGUUCAUGAAAUAUGUCGUCGUCCUUCUCGUUGUCUCUUAAGAUGCAUUUUCCAUUAGUUCAUAAUCUUUUGGUUUGAGAACAAUUUGUAGGAUAUUCUUAUUUCUUAUUUUAUUGGUAGUGUGUCUUUUCUGUUCAGGAACUUCGGUGAGAUAUUAUCUUUUGACUAUCCAGAUUAUAUAAACCCCAAUGCAUUGUUUUCUGUGCGCACUAGGGCUUCUGAAACUGAACUAGCGAGUUUAUAUAUGAAGGAGUGAUUUUUUUGAAUAUUCUUUUAUGUGUUGCUUGAUGGUGUAUGAGGAGAAAUUAUGGCCAACCAGAUGGAAUAACAUAGCAACACUUGUAGAAAAGGGGAAUCAAAUUCAAGAAGGUGUAAAGCUUAUGUAAGGAUAUCUGCCAGCCGGUGAACGAAGGGUGUGGGUCGAGUGGCAUGUCGAGUUAGAUAAAUAGGCAAUAGUUUCUUAAUUGGUAUGUAAAAACAAGAUAGUUUCUUGAAUGGAUUAAGACUAGAGAAGUUUCCACCAUGCGUGGUUGUGAGGUAGGUGGAGAGAAUGAAGCAUGACAUUGACGAAUUGACUCCAAGUGAAGUCGGAAUGAGCAUGGAGCGCAAAAUGUAAAGAUUGGAGGGGGAGUUUUUAUGAAGAGAAUGGAAGGAUGAGAAACAAUGUCUAUCCUAGCAAGACACGGGCAAAGGAUGAGAUGUGUCGAGUUGAGUAAAUGAAGAAAAAUAUGUCAGGAGUUGUAAUGGAGUCACAAACUGUAUGCACUUAUAUUUUGCAUGUGCGAUGUAUAUAUUUAUCUUGUCAGGUCGAAUAA